CCCUUAGAUGUUCUGGGCCGCACGCGUGCUACACUGAGUGGAUCAGCGGGUCAGGUUGCGCGAAAGUGUUUCCUAAUCUUGAAAUCCGCUCGUGAUGGGGAUUGACGGUUGCAAUUUUCCGUCAUGAACGAGGAAUACCUUGUAAGCGCGGGUCAUCAUCCCGCGCUGAAUACGUCCCUGCCCUUUGUACACACCGCCCGUCGCUCCUACCGAUUGAGUGGUCCGGUGAGGCUUUGGGAUCUGAGCAAAAAGAGCGUUUCGCUCGUUUGGCUCGGAAAACUCAGUCGAACCUUACCAUUUAGAGGAAGGAGAAGUCGUAACA
rnacentral:rRNA from 1 species